UUGGAAAGUCGUGAAGCCAUUGCUGUUGAAGCCCUGAAGCAAGCCAAGGAUGAGCACGUCCAGAAGUUGAUGGAGGCCUACUUGGUAACCCAUAACCAACGUAGAGCCGUGCGGAUCCAAGAGCCCGCUCCAUCCAACCCAGUUCAACCCAUGAGAGUUGAAGAUCCCCAGAUUCUUGAAGGUCACCCGGUCUCUGUCAGAGGAGAGAAGAAGGCUUGGGAACUCCCGGAAGGAGCCAUAGUCUUGGAAGGAAUUCCAGUCUCCCCUAAGGCUAUGGAUAAGCAAGAGCACCCUGAAUCCUCCCAAGAUCCCCCGCCGGAGUUGUUUGAGCCCCUCACCAUGAAGAAGAUUCCAGCACCGUCCCUUGAGGUCAAGGAAGAAGCUGCAAGCACCCCGCAAGCACCGCCGCCCUCAGAGGAUCUACAAGAGCCAGUCCCGCUUGAAGAAGAGUUCGACCCUGUCCUGCCAUCUCAAAUCACUGCCAGAAGAAGUCAUCAACAUCAGCUCCCUAUUGACCCAUCCAGGAGAUGUCUCAGAUUGAAGUUGUGUGCAAGCCUUGCCAGAAGAGAAGCUGCCAGAUCUGAGUUAGUUAUACCCAGUCCUCUGCGUGCAUUGGGUAGUGAAGUUUUUCUUCACUUUGGCCAGAGCCCUGCAUGUAUGAGAGAGAAAAGUGCUUUACCCAAGAAGAUACCGAGAAGCUUACCCUUGAAGCCUGGAACAAGCUACAGAAGAAACCAGUCCAGCCGCUCAGUCAAAAGGACCGACCGUGAGAAUCAAAGCACUGCCCCUGAGUCAAAGCAAACAGGAAAAGAGGACAGAAGGAGUUAUUACCAUACAGAGAGGCAAAGAUUCUUAGAACCAGAGACCACAAACAUCAGGGUCAUCGACCCCACCACUCACCCGUGCCCCUCGCACGCGUGCCCGCCUCCAUGCGCACUACCACCGCCCCACGCCCCCCCUUUUGCAGCGCACUACCGCCGCCCACGCCACCUUUGCAGCGCACCCACCGCCACCAUCAUCGCCGGCAACACCAGGCCCCCUCCCCUUAUCGCACCCGCUGCCGCGUAG
rnacentral:misc_RNA from 1 species